rnacentral:rRNA from 1 species
ACGACUCUCGGCAACGGAUAUCUCGGCUCUCGCAUCGAUGAAGAACGUAGCGAAAUGCGAUACUUGGUGUGAAUUGCAGAAUCCCGUGAACCAUCGAGCCUUUGAACGCAAGUUGCGCCCCAAGCCUUCGGGCCGAGGGCACGUCUGCCUGGGUGUCACGCA